GCUGGGCAUAGUGCCACAUGCCUGUAAUCCCAGUGGCUCAGGAGGCUGAGGCAGGAGGAUGGCAAGUUCGAGGCCAGCCUCAGCAACAGUGAGGUGAGACCCUGUUUCUA
rnacentral:sRNA from 1 species